rnacentral:rRNA from 1 species
CCAAUAGCGUACAUUAAAGUUGUUGCAGUUAAAAAGCUCGUAGUUGAAUUUCGGGAUCAAUAUGUCGGUCGUGCCUUCGGUACGUACUGGUAUCAUUGGUCUCUCCUUUCUGACGAACCAUGAUGUCAUUAAUUUGGUGUUAUGGGGAGUUAGGACUGUUACUUUGAAAAGAUUAGAGUGUUUAAAGCAGGCUUUAGCUUGAAUACAUUAGCAUGGAAUAAUGAAAUAGGACGUUCGAACCUAUUUUGUUGGUUUCUAGGAUCAACGUAAUGAUUAAUAGGGAUAGUUGGGGGGAUUAGUAUUCAAUUGUCAGAGGUGAAAUUCUUGGAUUUAUUGAAGACUAACUACUGCGAAAGCAUUUGCCAAGGAUGUUUUCAUUAAUCAAGAACGAAAGUUAGGGGAUCGAAGACGAUCAGAUACCGUCGUAGUCUUAACCAUAAACUAUGCCGACUAGGGAACGGAUGAUGUUAAUUUUUUAAUGACUCAUUCGGCGCCUUACG